rnacentral:rRNA from 1 species
GACGAACGCUGGCGGCGUGCCUAAUACAUGCAAGUAGAACGCUGAAGGAGGAGCUUGCCCUUCUGGAUGAGUUGCGAACGGGUGAGUAACGCGUAGGUAACCUGCCUGGUAGCGGGGGAUAACUAUUGGAAACGAUAGCUAAUACCGCAUAACAGUAGAUGUUGCAUGACAUUUACUUAAAAGGUGCAAUUGCAUCACUACCAGAUGGACCUGCGUUGUAUUAGCUAGUUGGUGGGGUAACGGCUCACCAAGGCGACGAUACAUAGCCGACCUGAGAGGGGGAUCGGCCACACUGGGACUGAGACACGGCCCAGACUCCUACGGGAGGCAGCAGUAGGGAAUCUUCGGCAAUGGGCGGAAGUCUGACCGAGCAACGCCGCGUGAGUGAAGAAGGUUUUCGGAUCGUAAAGCUCUGUUGUAAGAGAAGAACGAGUGUGAGAGUGGAAAGUUCACACUGUGACGGUAUCUUACCAGAAAGGGACGGCUAACUACGUG